UACAGAGGGUGCGAGCGUUAAUCGGAAUUACUGGGCGUAAAGCGUGCGCAGGCGGCGCGUUAAGACAGGUGUGAAAGCCCCGAGCUUAACUUGGGAAUUGCGCUUGUGACUGGCGUGCUGGAGUGUGGCAGAGGGAGGUGGAAUUCCACGUGUAGCGGUGAAAUGCGUAGAUAUCUGGAGGAACACCGGUGGCGAAGGCGGCAUCCUGGACCGGUAUUGACGCUGAGGCGCGAAAGCUAGGGUAGCAAACGGG
rnacentral:rRNA from 1 species